rnacentral:rRNA from 1 species
UACGUAGGGGGGCGAGCGUUGUCCGGAUUUAUUGGGCGUAAAGAGCUCGUAGGCGGUUUGGCAAGUCGGGUGUGAAAACUCCGAGCUCAACUCGGAGACGCCACUCGAUACUGCUAUGACUCGAGUCCGGUAGGGGAGUGCGGAAUUCCUGGUGUAGCGGUGAAAUGCGCAGAUAUCAGGAGGAACGCCGAUGGCGAAGGCAGGUCUCUGGGCAUCAACUGACGCUGAGGAGCGAAAGCAUGGGGAGCGAACAGG